rnacentral:rRNA from 1 species
CCGAUAGCGUAUAUUAAAGUUGUUGCAGUUAAAAAGCUCGUAGUUGAAUUUCGGGAUCAAUAUUUCGGUCAUGCCGUUGGUAUGCACUGUUAUCAUUGAUUUCUCACCUUCUAAAGAACCGUAAUGCCAUUAAUUUGGUGUUACGGGGAAUUAGGACUGUUACCUUGAAAAAAUUAGAGUGUUUAAAGCAGGCUCACGCUUGAAUACAUUAGCAUGGAAUAAUGAAAUAGGACAUCCGAUUCUAUUUUGUUGGUUUCUAGGAUCGAUGUAAUGAUUAAUAGGGAUAGUUGGGGGCAUUAGUAUUCAAUUGUCAGAGGUGAAAUUCUUGGAUUUAUUGAAGACUAACUACUGCGAAAGCAUUUGCCAAGGAUGUUUUCAUUAAUCAAGAACGAAAGUUAGGGGAUCGAAGACGAUCAGAUACCGUCGUAGUCUUAACCAUAAACUAUGCCGACUAGGGAUCGGAUGAUGUUAAUUUUUUAAUGACUCAUUCGGCGCCUUACG